rnacentral:lncRNA from 1 species
GGUGUCCUCAAUGUGGCCAGCGUCUGUUUGCAGAUCCGGUACCCAUCUGUUGCCUCUGGGCUGCACUCCAUCAUCAAUGGGUACGAACAGAUCACAGCUUUGUCUGUGGAGACUGAGUACACUUUCCCACUUGCUGAAAAGGUCAAGGCCUUCAUGGCUAAUCCAUCCACACUUGUGGCUGCUGCCCCUGUAGGCAAGCCAAGGCUGCUUUGUAGCCCAGCCAAGGCUGAAGCAAAGAAAGAGUUGGAGGAAUCAGAUGAGGAUAUUGGAUUCAGUCUCUUAGAA